UAUUUGAAGUGGCAGAGGAGUUUGAAUUGAACUCCAGAUAUGUUGAAUCCACAAUUUCUUAUGUUGUCUUGGGAACAUUGUUGGCUGCUUUGGUCCCUGUUCUGGGCUUUAAUCCGGUCAUGGCAUCCGAGCAUUUUGCUUCAUUUUUGGCAUGCUUUUUGCCACUUUCUGAUGCAAGCUCCUUUAGCAUCCUUUACAUAGUUACAUUAGUAUAUUUUUCAGGUGUCAUGGUGCCACUAAUGCUUGUACUUGGUCCAGCAGUAUGCAAAAUGCCUGGAAUUUCUCUUUCAGGAGCUUUUGAUGUUCUUACUCAUUCGCUCAAAUUUCAGUUGCCUAGUACAUCAGAAAUUUUUACAUCUGAUUAGAGAAGGUUCAUUGUGUCUGGGCAGCAGCAGAAGCAUGUUCAAUACCCUUCAUAGUGCUAACAAGUCAAUCUCAUGAUGGCCUUCGCAUUUUUUAUGACUUCAAAGAGGCCUAUGCAUGGUUGAGCCAUAACACAGAUGUAGAUCAUAAAUCUAACUUCAUAUUUUGAUCGUGAGAAGACUGAUGCUCGUGCUGCAAGAGAUGCUCAAAAUCUGACCACAGCUGUGUAGUCUAUGCUUUAGUGGCAAAAUCUAGUAUUCUAUCUUUUGGGAAGGAUAUGUAUUGGCCAUUAGAACUUACAACUGAUUAUGUGGGAUUACUAUAUUCCCAACAUUUGUGGUUCACUUCUGUUUUGACUAAUUUGGAGAUGUGUUAUGGCCAAAUAUAUGAAUUUGUGGCAUAUAUUCUAUGUUGGUUUUGCCUUUUGUCAUAUUGAAUGUUUUGUUA